rnacentral:sRNA from 1 species
AAAUUACCACUCCUCUAUAUACAAACUACAUACAGACACGCUUUGGAGUUCACUUGAUCUGUCCAUGUAUGUUAUAUUCAAUAAUUGAAGGAAAGGCAAUGAAGAUUAUUUUUACAAAAUGAAAAACAAGUGCAAAGAAAAAAUGGAAAAGUGUAAGGAUUGGCAGUCAAGAUUGCCUCAUUGCCACAUAAAUUUUGGUCCGAUAUACAAGUUGGAAGAUGAUAAGCAGAAAAUACUGUAUACUUUCCCAGCGAUCGAGAAAUAUACAUCUCAACCUCUGACAACAUUGACAACAUUGACCAUCGACAAGAAUAGAAGUGAUGCAACAUCAGAUGAAAUCACAACAGAGAUACCUGUCAAAAGAUCAAUGAUACUUUAUCCUACACCCAAUACAUUUGGACUAGAUGACAUCACUUCAGAUAUACCUGUCAAAAGAUCAAUGGUGCUUAAUUCUGCAACCAAUGCAUUUGGACUAGAACAGCUUGUUGCAACGUCGGUUGGAGUGGGAACAUUAAGUUUCUUUAUCGGAAUGGCUAUCAUGUAUCUAAUGUUCAGAGGCCAUGAAGCAAGAAGGACUAUUUUGCAAGCAAGAGAAGUACAAGGCGAAAAUAUCCUACUGUUACCAGUUCAAGAAAAUAAGGGUGGAACAAAUGAGGAACACACUCAAAAAAUGAACCAACCAGAGGAGAAGGAGGUCACAACUACUUUGUUUGAACGUUGUUACUUACCUGGUGAUCUAGAUGGUGAACAUGUUCGAAAAUCCUAUGGCAUCAGUAACGGACAGAGUUUAUUGUAAAUAAAUAUUCAUGACAAUCUAAACAUUUUAAAUGUGUAUCAUGGUUUUAGUUAAAUAUUUUGGAAACAAUUUCAAGUGUUGUAAAAAUUUCGUUGUUUUUGAACCAAAUAAAAUUUCGUUUACAUUU